rnacentral:rRNA from 1 species
UACGAAGGGGGCUAGCGUUGCUCGGAAUGACUGGGCGUAAAGGGUGCGUAGGCGGCGAUGCAAGUCAGGCGUGAAAUUCCCGGGCUUAACCUGGGGACUGCGUUUGAGACUGUGUUGCUAGAGGAUGGAAGAGGCUCGUGGAAUUCCCAGUGUAGAGGUGAAAUUCGUAGAUAUUGGGAAGAACACCGGUGGCGAAGGCGGCAAGCUGGUCCAUUACUGACGCUGAGGCACGAUAGCGUGGGGAGCAAACAG